GCCAACGUAAGCUACGCAAACGCUUGUUGUGUCUGCUCCUGUUACCUGCUGCCCCUUUGCUCACUCGCCCAUUUAUCCUCCAAUGCUUCGCACUCCUUGAACCGGCACCACUGCCAGAGACUCCUCUUCUUCUCUCUUACCGACACGAGGCAAAGAGUUCGAGGGGUUUAUUCAUGACCCUCUACCCGAAGGGGGGAAAGGGGAGGAUGAGGGAGGAGAGUUCUAAUGCAGACUUAGGCGCAAGCGAUGGCCCUGGCGUUUCGUGACCCUCGUCCCGAAGGCCGCGUCCGAGGUGCUCGACGAAAGGCCGAGCCCAAGUGGUGCAACAUGAGGAGGGAGGAGAGUUUUAAGGCAGCCUCAGGCGAAUACGGUGCACCCCGUCCUUUGCCGUCAAUAAGGUUGCAUCGUUCAUGGUGCCGGUCGGGGCGUUCCUCGCUUCUACUCUUAGUAUGCGGUUUGCUUCACCUUGAGGCACUCGAGUUAGCAAACAUAUUUUAAUGAGAAAUGAAGGGUGCAAAGGCUAUUGCAGAGUCACUGAAAAAAAAGAUCAACUUUAUAUAUCCUAAACAAGAAUAUGAUUGACUACUAUGGCAUUCUUGUUGGUCAACUAUAUGAUUGCUUCUGCUAUCAUUGUGUUAGUGGGCAUUCACCUUCUCAUGUGAAGACCAAAUGACUGAAGGAGAAUAACAGAAGCAAGGAGGUGUUGAUUCUAAUAUGACAACAAGGCUGUCAGAUCUGAUUGUAUGAUUUAAGGUCAGGUUAAUGGAAUGGCCAAUUUUCUUUCUUGUAACUUGUCUGAGGAACUAAAUCCAUUAAUGGUUUAAGUGAUAAUUCGUUCAGUGUCUAAAACUCCACCAAUGACCGGCAGGGUAUCCAAAUUUAACAAAGAGAUCAUGUUUUCUCGUGUGCUUAGGUUUAGUAUGUACAAGUAUGUAUGCAUAGGAUAGAGUCAUACUAGUAUAAUGUUUAAUAUACUGUAGCAGUCAAAUAAUAAUAUGUAUUUGACUUCAAAGAUUUGGAGUUUUUAUGGGUUGUAGUUAGCUGUGGAUUGGGAUAACACUGAUCUGCUUGAGCUGUAAAAUAAUGUAUAUACAAGU